CCCCAUGGCCUUUGAGAGAAGAGAGAAGAGGACCCGGUGAAGUAGGCUCUGAGGGCCUCAGCCCAGCAGGAGCGCAGGGCUUUUCCUCCAGGAGCUGCACCAGGAACUCACAGAGGAUCAGGGAGAAUUCUGAGAACAUGCUACUGUGGUGCUGCCUAGAGAGGAAGGAUAAAUGAUGACAAGUACAUCUCUGAGUAACAUGUAACCCAUCUAUUUUACUGAAGAAAUGGGAAGAGCUGAAUGCUGAAUACACUGAAUGUCUGCAGGUUGUGCAAGUUUGUGACUUUAUCACUUUCUAAUUUCUGAUCUGUGUGGACCACUCUACAGAUUUUUCUCACUGGUGUGA
rnacentral:lncRNA from 1 species